GUGGUGAUUGCGCCCCUGCACUCUAGCAUGGGAAACAGCGUGAGACCCUAUCUCAAAACCAAAACAAAACAAAAAAAUGGCUGGGCCAGUUCCCAUCAUCAGGUCCUCUUUCCAGCCAGCAGGAAGAGAAGAGCAAAUGGAGGGCAUGACCCUUCUUUAUAAAGUCAUGACCCAAAAGUUGCACACAUCAUUUCUGUCUACACACCCUUGUCUCAAAUUAGUCACAUGGUCAUGCCCAGUUGUAAGGGAGGCUGGAAAUAGUCUAGUGGGCCAGCCAUAUGCUCAACUAAAACUCGGGAGUUCAGUUACUAAGGAAGAUGGAGAGAAUGGAUAGUAAGGCAAAUGGCCAUUUUUACCUAAUGGAGGUUCUUGGGAUCACAGAAACAGUGGUCAGAAUAUUAAAGAAAAAAGAUCCUUAGAGACUAUCUAGUUAAACACUCUGAUUUUAUAGAUGGGGAGACAGACCCAGAGAGGUGACCUGUCCAAAAUUAGACAGCAAUCUAGUCAGUGGCAGAC
rnacentral:lncRNA from 1 species